UACGUAGGGUGCAAGCGUUGUCCGGAAUUAUUGGGCGUAAAGAGCUCGUAGGCGGUUUGUCGCGUCGAAUGUGAAAAACCCGGGGCUCAACCCCGGGCCUGCAUUCGAUACGGGCAGACUAGAGUUCGGUAGGGGGAGUCUGGAAUUCCUGGUGUAGCGGUGAAAUGCGCAGAUAUCAGGAGGAACACCGGUGGCGAAGGCGGGACUCUGGGCCGAUACUGACGCUGAGGAGCGAAAGCGUGGGGAGCAAACAGG
rnacentral:rRNA from 1 species